rnacentral:rRNA from 1 species
AUUGGGCCCGAGUUUGAUCCUGGCUUAGAGCGAACGCUGGCGGCAGGCUUAACACAUGCAAGUCGAGCGGGCGUAGCAAUACGUCAGCGGCAGACGGGUGAGUAACGCGUGGGAACGUACCUUUUGGUUCGGAACAACACAGGGAAACUUGUGCUAAUACCGGAUAAGCCCUUACGGGGAAAGAUUUAUCGCCGAAAGAUCGGCCCGCGUCUGAUUAGCUAGUUGGUGGGGUAACGGCCCACCAAGGCGACGAUCAGUAGCUGGUCUGAGAGGAUGAUCAGCCACAUUGGGACUGAGACACGGCCCAAACUCCUACGGGAGGCAGCAGUGGGGAAUAUUGGACAAUGGGCGCAAGCCUGAUCCAGCCAUGCCGCGUGAGUGAUGAAGGCCCUAGGGUUGUAAAGCUCUUUUGUGCGGGAAGAUAAUGACGGUACCGCAAGAAUAAGCCCCGGCUAACUCCGUGCCAGCAGCCGCGGUUA